rnacentral:snRNA from 1 species
UCCCUGGAAAGGGGCGCCAG